GANAANNUNUUNUGGANGGGCGGCCUUUCCNGCCAGUCGAACGCGAAAGUGGACUUCGUGUCCGCGAGAUAGAGUGGCGAACGGGUGAGUAACACGUGGGCAACCUACCCUGGAGCGGGGGACAACUCUAGGAAACUCGAGCUAAUACCGCAUACGUUUCGGCGAUUAUGGUCGCCGAAGGAAAGACAGCCUCUUCUUGAAAGCUGUCACUCUGGGAUGGGCCCGCGUCCGAUUAGCUUGUUGGUGGGGUAACGGCCUACCAAGGCGACGAUCGGUAGCCGGCCUGAGAGGGCGAUCGGCCACACUGGAACUGAGACACGGUCCAGACUCCUACGGGAGGCAGCAGUGGGGAAUAUUGCGCAAUGGGGGAAACCCUGACGCAGCAACGCCGCGUGAAGGAUGAAGGCCUUCGGGUCGUAAACUUCUGUCAGAAGGGAAGAAGGUUUGCGGGUUAAUAGCCCGUAAACUUGACGGUACCUUCAGAGGAAGCCCCGGCUAACUCCGUGCCAGCAGCCGCGGUAAUACGGAGGGGGCAAGCGUUAUUCGGAAUCAUUGGGCGUAAAGGGCGUGUAGGCGGCUUAACAGGUCAAAGGUGAAAUCCCCUCGGCUCAACCGAAGGAACUGCCUUUGAAACCUUU
rnacentral:rRNA from 1 species